rnacentral:rRNA from 1 species
UACGAGGGGGGCGAGCGUUGUUCGGAAUUAUUGGGCGUAAAGGGUGCGUAGGCGGUUCCGCAAGUCCUGUGUGAAAUCUUCGGGCUCAACUCGAAGUCUGCACGGGAAACUGCGGGGCUUGAGUGUGGGAGAGGUGAGUGGAAUUCCCGGUGUAGCGGUGAAAUGCGUAGAUAUCGUGAGGAAGACCAGUGGCGAAGGCGAAUCUCUGGACAGUAACUGACGCUGAGGCACGAAGGCUAGGGGAGCAAACGGG